rnacentral:rRNA from 1 species
CACGUAGGGUGCGAGCGUUGUCCGGAAUUAUUGGGCGUAAAGAGCUCGUAGGCGGUGUGUCGCGUCGGCCGUGAAAACCUGCAGCUUAACUGUGGGCUUGCGGUCGAUACGGGCAUCACUGGAGUUCGGCAGGGGAGACUGGAAUUCCUGGUGUAGCGGUGAAAUGCGCAGAUAUCAGGAGGAACACCGGUGGCGAAGGCGGCAUCCUGGACCAACACUGACGCUGAG